rnacentral:rRNA from 1 species
UACGUAGGUGGCAAGCGUUGUCCGGAUUUACUGGGCGUAAGGAGCGCGCAGGCGGUCGGAUAAGUCGAAUGUGAAAGCCCCCGGCUCAACUGGGGAGGGUCAUUCGAUACUGUUCGACUCGAAGGCAGGAGAGGGAAGUGGAAUUCCCGGUGUAGUGGUGAAAUGCGUAGAUAUCGGGAGGAACACCAGUGGCGAAGGCGACUUCCUGGCCUGUUCUUGACGCUGAGGCGCGAAAGCUAGGGGAGCGAACAGG